CACUGGGGCAGGGGGGAAGGGAUCUGGGUUGGGCUCCUCUUCAUUGCCACGCUCUCUGUUAUCCUCACCACAAAUCCUUCAACUCCACACCACGACUCUGUAUGUAUUGCCCCCUCUUCCCUAAAUCCAUUCUCUCCCAAUUAUUUAUUUAAUUAAUCGAUGUUUAGAUUGAAAUUUCAAAGCUUUAGCAAAACCUAGAUGUUAAUUUCACUGAUUAAUCACAACCCACGUUCUAAUUUUCACAUCUAAACAAAUCCCAGAUUGGAAACAAAAAGAAAACGCAUGUGAAAAUCUUGGAGUAGUACAAAACCUAGAUGUUAAAUUUUCAAUUAGAUAGGAUUGAAGUUUUAAUCUUGAUGUUUAAUUGAUUGCGGGCACUUCCAAUAACUGGGAUAUGGGUUUCACCGACGGGAUCAUGGUUCUAAGUUUUAUGGUUGUUCUCCUUCUUCUUCUUCUUCUUCUUCUUCUUUCAAGGUUCAGGUACGGGGUGAUGGGAUUUGGAUCUUCUAACCUUUUUUUUAUUAUUUAUUUAGAAGAUUAAGUUUUUUUUUUAAAUUAAAAAAAAAAAAAAUUUUGCCACGUGGCAUACAUUUGGCAGCACGUGGCACAAAUGUGGCAGCCACGUCAGCACUUAACAGAUCAAUGGAUGGAAAAUGUAACAGAUGUAUUAUUUUGAAAUAAAAUAGUACAUGAGGUAUGAAAGUGAAAUGUUUUAAAGAUGUUGUAUGAGGUUGUAAUAAACCUCAAAACCUGAAGGGCUACUAUGUAAUUUACCCUAAAAUUAAUUAAAAAAAUUGUUACUGCACAACGAACACUUGGUCGCGUAAAGUUUUUAUGAACUAGUGUCCUAUAUGAAGUAUUCGUCAUGUAGAAUUAUUGGCCACCAGACUCACCAUCUCAUGUACUGUAUCUCGUUUAGCUCACUUUGUUGCAUCAGGUUACAUGCGACAAACUCAUUUCGUUCCUUUAUAUUCUGCGUGACAGCGUCUAUUUCGUCACACUUGUUCAUUCUUGCGCAGCAAAAUUUUUGUUCUUGUUGCGCAAAGUCUGUUUUCAUGACCCUUGAGCGACGAUUUAUGCGCGACGAACUUUUUGUCGCAAAAAUUCCAAUGGGACGCUAUGUCGUUUUACACGACGAAUUGCCCUU
rnacentral:lncRNA from 1 species